UUCUUCAAUAAUUGUUCCCGCAUUGUUGCCUCGCCUAUCGUUAUCGGAGCGCCAGGAUUAUCUUCGACUGGCGUGGCUGGAGGCUCGAUUGCCGGCGGAGGUUGAGGCUGGUAAAAUAGAAGAAUAGAAACGUUAGUAGCGAGUAUAUAGAUCCUGACGAUACGGACGAAAGGGAAGACGAUGAGAUUAUAGGCCAUGCUGGAUCGAUGUUGUGCACUCGGACGUCCAGGGAGAACAGCUUCUUCGCUGGGAAAACCUCGUUCCAAGUCUGUCGUAGCUUCCACAUACUAGCCCGUGUACUUUCGUCCACCUAAUAGGGAUGCAGUAAAAAUAAGUUGAACAAGUCUCUGGUGAAAUGAAACUGUUGCAAAUCUAGACACAUGUUACACAUCAGUAUUUUACUCAACAUUCAGAUACAUUACAUACGUACAUGAAUUUGAUGCAAUUGUGAAAUUCAAUUUGAAUUGACUAAUUUGGAAAAAUUGUUUCUUUUAUCCAUUUCAUGUUAAGAAUUCAGUUAUUUGUUCCUUGAUUUCGAGUCUCUUUGAAUAGCAUACAUUGAAAUAUAAUACAAGUAUAAAGUCAUUUUCUUGUAAGGUAUCGACGCAUUUAAUGUGUUGAGCUAUCAGCUCGUUUGUAACAGUCUGAUUGUCUGGUUGAGAUAAGUAAAUAGCUUGAAAGUUGUUAGAAAGAAAUAAUUCUUCCGUGUACAUCUAAAUGAUAAUUAACAAUGUGUAAUUACAUUAGUAAUUUUUUGAAGCGAUUCAACAAAUGAAUUACCUUCUCGAAAACACCACAAAAUAGGUUGACAAUAUUUUGGGUGAAGAGGCUUGUGUAAUCUCCGUUAACGUUCUUGACGAUCGAAUCGAUGAGGUAUAGAACGGGAAGUUUGAUGUCGCUUCUGACCUGGUAAAACACAAUAACAGACUAUCCCACUUGUAUGGUACUCAAUCCACUCGGUUUCAAAUUUUGGCCACCACAUGCCAUCACCAGCCGACCACCAAACAUAUGGACCUUCUUUAAUGGAUCUUCUUUUGAUACGCAUCCCAAACCACUACUGUCAACUUAUAAUUAUUGCUGCAUACUAUACCUAGGAUUAAUUAGUUGCUAAUAACAACUUAUGCAACCAGAAAACGAUACCUUGGAGAUAAAUUUAACAUGCUGAGGCAGCGGUUAUCCAGUCAAACUACAUGUAAAAUGAAUACUUAGAGAAUCUGUCUGUAAAAUUUGAUUCAUGAAGAAAGUAGAUGAGUAGACUAUUGAAACCGAUGAGAAUCAUGUUGAAGAUGUAAGUGAUUUUUGAAAACUGCUAUAAGUAAAGAGCUAAAUCUUUGAAAUGUAUUGGAAAAAUCUUGUAACAUUUCUCUUGCCUUUAAUACAUGUUUGAAGAAAUCGAUCAAUUAAAUUAUAUAAUAUUCAAGGUCGAGAGAUAAGUGUAAAAACAUCAUUAGUUGGUAAAUAAGAUUUGAUCAAAUAGCACAUAUUGGAUCAUCUGUUGUCAAAUAAAGUAUUUGCAUAACAUCACUAGUAGUUUUGCGCACUUCGUUGAAAUGUUAAUAGGACCAGGCCAAAGAAAAUAAAAAUAAUGAGUAAGCAGUGGUAUUUGUGUUUUUUCUGUUUUAUACUUUUCAUUUUUAAUAUUGCAUUGUGUCGUUCAAUCAUCAUCAUCAAUUUUAUUCAAUCGAAGUAAUACAGUACAUAUAUUUUAAGAUAGUGGGGGAGAAAAAAAGAGAUAACUUUCGAGAACGAAGCAAAUUGAAAUUGAAUAUUAGAAUGCAGAACGACCAAUUGACAAAUUAUUUAUAAACGUUCAUCGUUAGGGUAAAAUUUUUAGAGGAAAAAACGAAUAAAAAGAAAACCCAGUGCUCAAAAUGAAUGAAAAAAUUGAGUUUCGGAGAUGGUAGCGUAAGAAUAUACACUGUCCUUGUUCUCUUCAUUUGCUAAACCUAAAUAUUGCUAUUUCUUCUAACAAAAAUAUUAAGGUCCAUUUGAAAGAAAAAAAAAAAAAGAAAAAAAAAGUGAAUGGGAUACAUUUAUUAUACUGCAGCUUGCAUACAAAAAUUCAAUCGAUUUUUAUACAUACUCUGAUAAAAUAUUGCAAAUGUGUUAUUUGAAGCUCUACAAUUAUUGUGUUGUAGACUUACAACUCGUUGUAUUUCUGUGUGUCCUCAUUUCUAUAAUAUGAAAUUUAUUGAUCAAGUUCUAUAAGAUACAUGUUGAGAAGUUGAGGGAAAAAGGAGACUCUUAUAAUACUCUAGUGAUUUUUCAUAUGAAAUCAAAAGAAGAAUGCAUAAAGUAAAACUUAAAAAAAAAAAAAAAAAAAAAAUCAAGUAAAAACCAAACGCACAAAAUAUAGAAAAUAGAAACUUAAAAAUCUGUUACCCCAGCGAACGAAUGCAUGUACACGCAUCGUUACAGUUCCAAGCAAAGGUCACCAGAAAUUAACCACACAAUUUUUUGUUGCUACUUGAAAAAUGUUGCUAUUAUUCUGCUUUUCUUUUUUCUUUAUCUUCUUUUUCUUUUUCAUCACAUGAUAUUAAUAAUAAUAUUAUAAUACUAAUAAUAAUAAUCGUAUCGUAAAUAUGGUUACAAAUUUAUUUGCUCUUUAUCAUAUAUCAGAAUAUAGUGUAUGUACAAAGGAACGGUCGUUUUACUAGCUUUGGGAAAUUUUUUUUUUUAAAUAAUCGAUCAAUACUUUGAGAUAUAUUUGUGUUUCGAAAUAUUUAUAUAUAUAUGUAUGUUUGUGUAUGGAUAAAAUGUAUUCGGUUGUACGUUGAAAAGUAAAUUUAAGUCGGUUAGGAAGGGGGGGUGGCAAGAUAAAAAAUAUAUAUA
rnacentral:lncRNA from 1 species